GAUGAACGCUGGCGGCGUGCCUAAUACAUGCAAGUCGAGCGAACAGACGAGGAGCUUGCUCCUCUGACGUUAGCGGCGGACGGGUGAGUAACACGUGGAUAACCUACCUAUAAGACUGGGAUAACUUCGGGAAACCGGAGCUAAUACCGGAUAAUAUAUUGAACCGCAUGGUUCAAUAGUGCAAGACGGUUUUGCUGUCGCUUAUAGAUGGAUCCGCGCCGCAUCAGCUAGUUGGUAAGGUAACGGCUUACCAAGGCAACGAUGCGUAGCCGACCUGAGAGGGUGAUCGGCCACACUGGAACUGAGACACGGUCCAGACUCCUACGGGAGGCAGCAGUAGGGAAUCUUCCGCAAUGGGCGAAAGCCUGACGGAGCAACGCCGCGUGAGUGAUGAAGGUCUUCGGAUCGUAAAACUCUGUUAUUAGGGAAGAACAAAUGUGUAAGUAACUAUGCACGUCUUGACGGUACCUAAUCAGAAAGCCACGGCUAACUACGUGCCAGCCGCCGCGGUAA
rnacentral:rRNA from 1 species